UCUAAGGGAAGUUUGAGAUAUUACUCAAUUAGUCUGUUUAAACAGAACAGAAACAUGGGAGAAACUAACGAUUUAUUUAUUGCAGGUGUGUUUAUGGGGGAAACAGCAGGGGAAGGCCUAAAUUUGCUAAGUAGAAAAAAAGUUGAGGGUAUGGUAUCGACAUACAAAGUGUGGUACGGAAUAUGGAUACGUUAUAUAUGUAUCAGCGUUUCUUGGAUGCAGGUUGCUUCUGGGAAUUGAAGUAGACGGCGGCAACAGGAAGUCCGAGGCCAUUCUGUGAGGCGAAUUGUCGAGUUUUGAAAUUGCUCCGGGUGGUGGGUGGUCGGAGCCUUCCGCCGAGAGGGGUGUUUUGUUUGAAAACGGCAAAUACA
rnacentral:lncRNA from 1 species